rnacentral:rRNA from 1 species
CCUACGGGUGGCAGCAGUGGGGAAUAUUGCACAAUGGGGGAAACCCUGAUGCAGCAACGCCGCGUGAAGGAAGACGGCUCUAUGAGUUGUAAACUGCUUUUGUACAAGGGUAAACCUGAACACGUGUAUUCAGCUGAAUGUACUUUACGAAUAAGGAUCGGCUAACUCCGUGCCAGCAGCCGCGGUAAUACGGAGGAUCCAAGCGUUAUCCGGAUUUAUUGGGUGUAAGGGGUGCGCAGGCGGGCCUUUAAGCCGGCGGUGAAACCGCGGGGCUCAACCCCGCCGAGCCUUGGGAACUGGGGGCCUUGAGUGCGGCGGAGGCAUGCGGAAUGCGUGGUGUAGCGGUGAAAUGCAUAGAUAUCGGGCAGAACCCCGGUUGCGAAGGCAGCGUGCCGUACCGCCACUGACGCUGAGGCACGAAAGCGUGGGGAUCGAACAGGAUUAGAUACCCCGGUAGUC